rnacentral:rRNA from 1 species
AUGAACGCUAGCGGCAGGCCUAACACAUGCAAGUCAGGGGCAGCACAAGGAGCAAUCUGAGGUGGCGACCGGCGCACGGGUGAGUAACACGUAUGCAACCUGCCUGUAAGCGGGGAAUAACCCGUUGAGAGACGGACUAAUACCGCAUAAUACUAAAUUACUGCAUGGUAAUUUAUUUAAACAUUUAUGGCUUACAGAUGGGCAUGCGCAUGAUUAGCUAGUUGGAGAGGUAACGGCUCCCCAAGGCAACGAUCAUUAGGGGUUCUGAGAGGAAGGUCCCCCACACUGGUACUGAGACACGGACCAGACUCCUACGGGAGGCAGCAGUGAGGAAUAUUGGUCAAUGGACGAGAGUCUGAACCAGCCAAGUCGCGUGCAGGAAGAAUGUCCUUAAUGGAUUGUAAACUGCUUUUGCAGGGGAAUAAAGUGCAUCACGUGUGAUGUUUUGUAUGUACUCUGCGAAUAAGGAUCGGCUAACUCCGUGCCAGCAGCUGC